UGGACAUUCGCCUCUCUCUCUCUCUGGUC
rnacentral:piRNA from 1 species